rnacentral:tRNA from 1 species
GGGGGAUUAGCUCAGUUGGGAGAGCACCUGCUUUGCAAGCAGGGGGUCGUCGGUUCGAUCCCGUCAUCCUNNGUCA